rnacentral:rRNA from 1 species
UACGGGGGGGGUAAGCGUUGUUCGGAAUUACUGGGCGUAAAGGGCUCGUAGGCGGCCAACUAAGUCGGCCGUGAAAUCCCUCAGCUUAACUGGGGAACUGCGUCCGAUACUGGAUGGCUUGGAUUUGGGAGAGGGAUGCGGAAUUCCAGGUGUAGCGGUGAAAUGCGUAGAUAUCUGGAGAAACACCGGUGGCGAAGGCGGCAUCCUGGACCAACAUUGACGCUGAGGAGCGAAAGCUAGGGGAGCAAACGGG